rnacentral:rRNA from 1 species
UACGAAGGGGGCAAGCGUUGUUCGGAAUUAUUGGGCGUAAAGGGCGCGUAGGCGGCUCAUGAAGGCUGUGGUGAAAGUCCGGGGCUCAACCUCGGAUCGGCCGUGGCGACUCGUGGGCUGGAGCACUGUAGAGGCGGGUGGAAUUCCGGGUGUAGCGGUGAAAUGCGUAGAUAUCGGAAGGAACACCUGUGGCGAAAGCGGCUCACUGGACCAUUACUGACGCUGAGGCACGAAAGCUAGGGGAGCAAACAGG